GGCAGGUGCCUGGAUGGCCUGUAGUCUUCGUCAAAAAUUGCAGAGCUCCACCAGCCCCAAACCUGGUUGGGAAAUGCUCCAUAAAGCCCCAGUCGCCACGGCACGGGUGUGAGGAGCACCUCCCCUGCAGCCACGGCACCGUGAGAGGGGUCGAGGGGGGCAGAGGACUUCCCACGGGGACCAACGCUGGGGUCCGACCCCCGGGGACAGGGAAGCCACAGUCCCGCUGCCCGGCCGCCUCCUGCACCAGCAGGGCCAGGCGCAGCAAAGGUUAACACCAGGGCAGACCAAGAAUUCAGGGAAACCGAAACUCAGCAAAGGGGUUUCUUGGAAAUCUGCUCUCCCGGUGUCAUCUGGGGCCCCGGUGAUCAGCGGCAGCUGCGCUCCACAGCACUGACCUCCUGCUCGACGGCGGACGGACAGGAUCAGGCUUGGGCCGGAGCCAGCUCAGCUCUUGCUCCAGCAGUUGCCUCGCUCCUGCCCAGCCCACCAUGGGUACUAUUGCUGCCUGCGCCAUCGGGGUGGCCAUAGGGCUCGGGAUCGCGGCUGUGGUGCCGGUAGCCCUGGACGCUCUGGGUUUCACCGGGGCAAGAAAAGGAGCCCGGUUGGUGGCCUCGAGGAUCCUGGUGGGCGUAGAAGUGUUGCUCAGCACAGCAAAAGAGAUGUUUGUCCUGUCAGCUGUCCUCAGGGCUUUCUUUCUGUGACCCCCCCACACACACACACCUCCCCGAUCCCCAGGAGGACCCUCACAGAUGUCUGCCGUG